UUUUAUUUGAGAGUUUGAUCCUGGCUCAGGAUGAACGCUGGUGGCGUGCCUAACACAUGCAAGUUGAGCGAUUUACUUCGGUAAAGAGCGGCGGACGGGUGAGUAACGCGUGGGUAACCUACCCUGUACA
rnacentral:rRNA from 1 species